AUGGCUCUUUGAAAAUUGAGUAUAGAGAGUCUAGCCUGCCCGGUGAAAUUUAUUUAACGGCCGCGGUACUCUGACCGUGCGAAGGUAGCAUAAUCAUUUGUCUUAUAAUUGAAGUCUAGAAUGAAUGGUUUCACAAGAGUAAAGCUGUCUCCUUCCUUUUACUAGAACUUUAUGACUAAGUUAAAAAGCUUAGAUAUAAUUAAAAGACGAGAAGACCCUAUCGAGCUUAAGGAAAAUUUCAGAAUUUUUAACAUUUAUGAAAACAGGAUAUCUGGAAAAACUUUGGUUGGGGCGACCCGAGAACAAAUAAAGCUUCUCAUUUGCAAGAAUACAUUUAAGUUUAGACCCACUAAUAGUGAUUAAAAAAAUUAGUUACCGUAGGGAUAACAGCAUAAUCUUUUUUGAGAGUUCAAAUCGAAAAAGAGGUUUGUGACCUCGAUGUUGGACCAAGAUAACCUAAAGAUGCAGAAGUCUUUAAAGGUUGGUCUGUUCGACCAUUAAAAUCUUACGUGAUCUGAGUUCAGACCGG
rnacentral:rRNA from 1 species